GACGAACGCUGGCGGCGUGCUUAACACAUGCAAGUCGAACGGAAAGGCCCCCAUCUUGGUGGGGGUGCUCGAGUGGCGAACGGGUGAGUAACACGUGGGUGAUCUGCCCUGUACUUCGGGAUAAGCUUGGGAAACUGGGUCUAAUACCGGAUAGGACCAUGGUUUAGUGUCUCAUGGUGGAAAGAUUAUUGUUUUGGUGCAGGAUGAGCUCGCGGCCUAUCAGCUUGUUGGUGGGGUAAUGGCCUACCAAGGCGUCGACGGGUAGCCGGCCUGAGAGGGUGGACGGCCACAUUGGGACUGAGAUACGGCCCAGACUCCUACGGGAGGCAGCAGUGGGGAAUAUUGCACAAUGGGCGCAAGCCUGAUGCAGCGACGCCGCGUGGGGGAUGACGGCCUUCGGGUUGUAAACUCCUUUCGUUAGGGACGAAGCCGCACUUUUUUUGGGUGUGGUGACGGUACCUUUGUUAAGAAGCACCGGGUAACUACGUG
rnacentral:rRNA from 1 species